rnacentral:rRNA from 2 species
ACGCCCCGCAGGGGAGUGGCAGACGGGUGAGUAACGCGUGGGAACAUACCCUUUCCUGCGGAAUAGCUCCGGGAAACUGGAAUUAAUACCGCAUACGCCCUACGGGGGAAAGAUUUAUCGGGGAAGGAUUGGCCCGCGUUGGAUUAGCUAGUUGGUGGGGUAAAGGCCUACCAAGGCGACGAUCCAUAGCUGGUCUGAGAGGAUGAUCAGCCACAUUGGGACUGAGACACGGCCCAAACUCCUACGGGAGGCAGCAGUGGGGAAUAUUGGACAAUGGGCGCAAGCCUGAUCCAGCCAUGCCGCGUGAGUGAUGAAGGCCUUAGGGUUGUAAAGCUCUUUCACCGGAGAAGAUAAUGACGGUAUCCGGAGAAGAAGCCCCGGCUAACUUCGUGCCAGCAGCCGCGGUAAUACGAAGGGGGCUAGCGUUGUUCGGAAUUACUGGGCGUAAAGCGCACGUAGGCGGAUAUUUAAGUCAGGGGUGAAAUCCCAGAGCUCAACUCUGGAACUGCCUUUGAUACUGGGUAUCUUGAGUAUGGAAGAGGUAAGUGGAAUUCCGAGUGUAGAGGUGAAAUUCGUUAUUCGGAGGAACACCAGCGAAGGCGGCUUACUGGUCCAUUACUGACGCUGAGGUGCGAAAGCGUGGGGAGCAAACAGGAUUAUACCCUGGUA